GACGAACCGUGCGAACGUUGUUCGGAAUCACUGGGCUUAAAGGGCGCGUAGGCGGGCUGUCAAGUCCGGGGUGAAAUCCUCCCGCUCAACGGGAGAACGGCCUCGGAUACUAAUGGUCUCGAGGAGGAUAGGGGCACACGGAACUGUGGGUGGAGCGGUGAAAUGCGUUGAUAUCCAUAGGAACUCCGGUGGCGAAAGCGGUGUGCUGGAUCCUUUCUGACGCUGAUGCGCGAAAGCCAGGGGAGCAAACGGG
rnacentral:rRNA from 1 species